GACUUGGUAGCUCAGCUGGUUAGAGCAUCUCACUUUUAAUGAGAGGGUCCUGGGUUCGAGUCCCAGCCAGGUCA
rnacentral:tRNA from 4 species